GGUUAAGCGACUAAGCGUACACGGUGGAUGCCCUGGCAGUCAGAGGCGAUGAAGGACGUGCUAAUCUGCGAAAAGCGUCGGUAAGGUGAUAUGAACCGUUAUAACCGGCGAUGUCCGAAUGGGGAAACCCAGUGCAAUUCGUUGCACUAUCGUUAACUGAAUACAUAGGUUAACGAGGCGAACCGGGGGAACUGAAACAUCUAAGUACCCCGAGGAAAAGAAAUCAACCGAGAUUCCCCCAGUAGCGGCGAGCGAACGGGGAGCAGCCCAGAGUCUGAAUCAGCUUGUGUGUUAGUGGAACGGUCUGGAAAGUCCGACGGUACAGGGUGAUAGUCCCGUACACCAAAAUGCACAGGCUGUGAACUCGAAGAGUAGGGCGGGACACGUGGUAUCCUGUCUGAAUAUGGGGGGACCAUCCUCCAAGGCUAAAUACUCCUGACUGACCGAUAGUGAACCAGUACCGUGAGGGAAAGGCGAAAAGAACCCCGGCGAGGGGAGUGAAAAAGAACCUGAAACCGUGUACGUACAAGCAGUGGGAGCACCUUCGGGUGUGACUGCGUACCUUUUGUAUAAUGGGUCAGCGACUUAUAUUCUGUAGCAAGGUUAACCGUAUAGGGGAGCCGCAGGGAAACCGAGUCUUAACUGGGCGUUAAGUUGCAGGGUAUAGACCCGAAACCCGGUGAUCUAGCCAUGGGCAGGUUGAAGGUUGGGUAACACUAACUGGAGGACCGAACCGACUAAUGUUGAAAAAUUAGCGGAUGACUUGUGGCUGGGGGUGAAAGGCCAAUCAAACCGGGAGAUAGCUGGUUCUCCCCGAAAGCUAUUUAGGUAGCGCCUCGUGAAUUCAUCUUCGGGGGUAGAGCACUGUUUCGGCUAGGGGGUCAUCCCGACUUACCAACCCGAUGCAAACUACGAAUACCGAAGAAUGUUAUCACGGGAGACACACGGCGGGUGCUAACGUCCGUCGUGAAGAGGGAAACAACCCAGACCGCCAGCUAAGGUCCCAAAGUCAUGGUUAAGUGGGAAACGAUGUGGGAAGGCACAGACAGCCAGGAUGUUGGCUUAGAAGCAGCCAUCAUUUAAAGAAAGCGUAAUAGCUCACUGGUCGAGUCGGCCUGCGCGGAAGAUGUAACGGGGCUAAACCAUGCACCGAAGCUGCGGCAGCGACACUAUGUGUUGUUGGGUAGGGGAGCGUUCUGUAAGCCUGCGAAGGUGACCUGUGAGGGUUGCUGGAGGUAUCAGAAGUGCGAAUGCUGACAUAAGUAACGAUAAAGCGGGUGAAAAGCCCGCUCGCCGGAAGACCAAGGGUUCCUGUCCAACGUUAAUCGGGGCAGGGUGAGUCGACCCCUAAGGCGAGGCCGAAAGGCGUAGUCGAUGGGAAACAGGUUAAUAUUCCUGUACUUGGUGUUACUGCGAAGGGGGGACGGAGAAGGCUAUGUUAGCCGGGCGACGGUUGUCCCGGUUUAAGCAUGUAGGCUGGUUAUCCAGGCAAAUCCGGAUAAUCAAGGCUGAGGUGUGAUGACGAGGCACUACGGUGCUGAAGUAACAAAUGCCCUGCUUCCAGGAAAAGCCUCUAAGCAUCAGGUAACAUCAAAUCGUACCCCAAACCGACACAGGUGGUCAGGUAGAGAAUACCAAGGCGCUUGAGAGAACUCGGGUGAAGGAACUAGGCAAAAUGGUGCCGUAACUUCGGGAGAAGGCACGCUGGUGUGUAGGUGAAGUCCCUGCGGAUGGAGCUGAGACCAGUCGAAGAUACCAGCUGGCUGCAACUGUUUAUUAAAAACACAGCACUGUGCAAACACGAAAGUGGACGUAUACGGUGUGACGCCUGCCCGGUGCCGGAAGGUUAAUUGAUGGGGUUAUCCGUAAGGAGAAGCUCUUGAUCGAAGCCCCGGUAAACGGCGGCCGUAACUAUAACGGUCCUAAGGUAGCGAAAUUCCUUGUCGGGUAAGUUCCGACCUGCACGAAUGGCGUAAUGAUGGCCAGGCUGUCUCCACCCGAGACUCAGUGAAAUUGAACUCGCUGUGAAGAUGCAGUGUACCCGCGGCAAGACGGAAAGACCCCGUGAACCUUUACUAUAGCUUGACACUGAACAUUGAGCCUUGAUGUGUAGGAUAGGUGGGAGGCUUUGAAGCGUGGACGCCAGUCUGCGUGGAGCCAACCUUGAAAUACCACCCUUUAAUGUUUGAUGUUCUAACGUUGGCCCCUUACCGGGGUUGCGGACAGUGUCUGGUGGGUAGUUUGACUGGGGCGGUCUCCUCCCAAAGCGUAACGGAGGAGCACGAAGGUUAGCUAAUCCUGGUCGGACAUCAGGAGGUUAGUGCAAUGGCAUAAGCUAGCUUGACUGCGAGCGUGACGGCGCGAGCAGGUGCGAAAGCAGGUCAUAGUGAUCCGGUGGUUCUGAAUGGAAGGGCCAUCGCUCAACGGAUAAAAGGUACUCCGGGGAUAACAGGCUGAUACCGCCCAAGAGUUCAUAUCGACGGCGGUGUUUGGCACCUCGAUGUCGGCUCAUCACAUCCUGGGGCUGAAGUAGGUCCCAAGGGUAUGGCUGUUCGCCAUUUAAAGUGGUACGCGAGCUGGGUUUAGAACGUCGUGAGACAGUUCGGUCCCUAUCUGCCGUGGGCGCUGGAGAAUUGAGGGGGGCUGCUCCUAGUACGAGAGGACCGGAGUGGACGCAUCACUGGUGUUCGGGUUGUCAUGCCAAUGGCACUGCCCGGUAGCUAAAUGCGGAAGAGAUAAGUGCUGAAAGCAUCUAAGCACGAAACUUGCCCCGAGAUGAGUUCUCCCUGAGACUUUAAGUCUCCUGAAGGAACGUUGAAGACGACGACGUUGAUAGGCCGGGUGUGUAAGCGCAGCGAUGCGUUGAGCUAACCGGUACUAAUGAACCGUGAGGCUUAACCUUAC
rnacentral:rRNA from 1 species